rnacentral:rRNA from 1 species
GAUGAACGCUGGCGGCGUGCCUAACACAUGCAAGUCGAGCGAUUUACUUCUGUAAAGAGCGGCGGACGGGUGAGUAACGCGUGGGUAACCUGCCCUGUACACACGGAUAACAUACCGAAAGGUAUGCUAAUACGAGAUAAUAUACUUUUAUCGCAUGGUAGAAGUAUAAAAGCUUUUGCGGUACAGGAUGGAGCCGCGUCUGAUUAGCUAGUUGGUAAGGUAACGGCUUACCAAGGCGACGAUCAGUAGCCGACCUGAGAGGGUGAUCAGCCACAUUGGAACUGAGACACGGUCAAAACGCCUACGGGAGGCAGCAAUGGGGAAUAUUACACAAUGGGCGAAAGCCUGAUGCAGCAACGCCGCGUGAGCGAUGAAUGCCUUCGGGUCGUAAAGCUCUGUCAUCAAGGAAGAUAAUGACGGUACUUGAAAAGGAAGCCCCGGCUAACUACGUGCCAGCCGCCGCGGUAA